rnacentral:rRNA from 1 species
GCCUGCCCGGUGACCAUGUGUUCAACGGCCGCGGUAUUCUGACCGCGCGAAGGUAGCGUAAUCACUUGUCUUCUAAAUAAAGACUAGUAUGAACGGCCACACGAAGACUUGACUGUCUCCCCUGUCCAAUCAGUGAAACUGAUCUCCUUGUGCAGAAGCGAGGAUACACCCAUAAGACGAGAAGACCCUAUGGAGCUUCAAACUCAAUAUUAAUUACCUUAAAACCCCCUCUAAGGAGCCAACAAAUAAUUUUUUUAAACUUAUAUUAGUUUUAGGUUGGGGCGACCAUGGAGAAAAAAAUAUCCUCCCUGAUGACUUUCUAACCAAGAGCCACAGCUCUAAGUAUUAAGACACUUAACUCCCAUUGACCCAUUUUAUGAUCAACGAACCAAGUUACCCUAGGGAUAACAGCGCAAUCCAUUUCAAGAGUCCCUAUCGACAAAUGGGUUUACGACCUCGAUGUUGGAUCAGGGCAUCCUAGUGGUGCAGCCGCUACUAACGGUUCGUUUGUUCAACGAUUAAAGCCCU